AAAGAUAUUUCUAGUACUUCUGGUUGAAAAAUCACAAAUCACUGAAAGAAAGUAUCUUUUGGCUAAUUUGAUUUCAUAUUUAAUAGAUUAAGAUGUCUUUUUAUAUUUUUUCUCCUUUCUAUGAAACUAGAUAUUUGUUUCCAGAUGUUAAAAAGUUAUAAGGGGCCGGCCCCGUGACCAACUGGUUGAAGUUCUGCAUGCUCUGCUUCGGCGGCCAGGGGUUCGCGGGCUCGGAUCCUGGGUGCAGACCUACUCCACUCGUCAGCCAUGCUGUGGAGGGGUCCCACAUGCAAAGGAGAGGAAGACCUGCAUGGAUGUUAGCUCAGGGCUAACCUUCCUCAAUGCAAAAAGAGGAGGAUUGGCAAUGGAUGUUAGCUCAGGGCUAACCUUCCUCAAUGCAAAAAGAGGAGGAUUGGCAAUGGAUGUUAGCUCAGGGCAAAUCUCCCUCACACACACACACACACACACACAAAACCUAUGAUAAAUUUCAAUUGUUCAUUUAUUAAAAGCAAUUAGAAUGCUACUUACCACACAUAAGUUCAGGAGCUAACUUGUAAUUUUUUUACUUCAAAUUACAAUUCAAGCUACUGUUUGUCAUGACUAACAUUUAACAUGCAUAUAGAUAUUCAUUUUAAAAAGAAAUUAAUGUUACUCUUUUAAUUUUUUAAAAAUUGUCCUAGUUUCUGGACCAAAUUAAGGAUGGGGGCUGGGUUGCCAAGGGAAGCAACCAAGGAUAGAGGAUUGGAACUUUCAGCUCCACCCCCUGAUUUUCAGAGAUGGGAGAGAGGCUGGAGGUUGACUCAAUCACUAAUGGCCAAUGAUUUAAUCAAUCAUGCCCAUGUAAUGUAGCUUUAAAAACCCCAAAGGACAGGGUUCUGAGAGCUCCCAGGCUGGUGAACACGUGGAGAUGUAGGGAGAAUGACGUGCCUGGAGAGGACAUGGAAGCUCGGUACCCUUUCCCCAAGCCUCGCCCUGUGCAUCUCUUCCAUGCGGCUAUUCCUGAGUUACAUCCUUUUAUAAGAAGUCGAUUAUGUAGUUAAAAAAAAACACCGUACUCCCAAUCCAAAAGCAAAAAUAAAUAAUUAAGCAACCCCGAAUCUUAUCAGUAUGAGGGUGGUGGCAAUCACGCAGCAAUGCAGCAGCGUUACAAAACUAUUAAAAUCAGGUUGUAAGCUGUACGUUGUUUUGUUUUUUAAUUUAAUAUAGUUCCACUCUUACCCAUAAAAAGGAAAUCAGUUUUGAGUCAUGGCACAGAACAUGAAAAGGAAAUGUCAAGUGACAAUAUUACCAGUUAGUUACUUGAAAACCCACUGGAGUUAAAAGCCAGUUAAAUCCUAAUUUAAAAGGCUCCAUUCACUAUAUAUAGAUUUUUCCACAGAAAGCUCACACUUUUAUUGCUUUAGUCUAUUGUUCCUCAUUUGAGACUUUUUUUUUAUUAAGUUCAUGAAGCUGAGAUAAUAGGUAAAAGGUCAGGUUUAAAGAAGAAAAAAAUUACCAGAACCCCACAGGGUUAUUCACUAAUGACUUUAUAACUUGAAUUUCCACUUGAGUAUGCACUGCAAUUCAAAAAUCUCAGGUUAUUUUAGUAAAAUCUUAUCAGUUUGACUUUUGGGGGACCAAUCCUUUGCUUGCGUCAACCUUUGGACUCCAAAAUAGUUUUGCCUCAAAUGUAUAAUACUGGUCUUGAUUGAUCAUUAUAUGUCACGUUUAGACCAGUUAAAAAGCACACAUAAUGCAAGUUUCUGGAGCAGGCCUUUCUGAGGGGAUUUCUUUAUCUUAUUUUAUACAUAUUCAAUGUAUUAAUGUGGCCAGAGUUCACGUGAAAUCUGACAGAGAUAACUUAAGACGUCAGUGGUCAGACAGCACUGGUUUUUAAGCAUAGUUCUUUUCCUCUUCCGCUUCCCUUCUCAGAAUCAGGAAUACUUCUAGGCAAAGAACUGAGAUUUACAACACAAGGAAGAAGAUCCAACAGAGAAUUAGCUCGUCAGGAGUGGAAAAACUUUUACAGGAUCGAUGCUAUACCAUCUUGAUCACUUUAAAAUUUACCAUUUUAUUGUACUUUUUCCCUCUUCCAAACUGUAGACACUGAAGUAAACGCACGCCCCCCCCCCGCCCCGACACGCACACACGAACCAGAGAACUACAAACUAUAAGUAAUUCAAAGUAAGGGAAAACCCAAAUUCAUUUCUGAGCCAGUCUCCUACAUGCUACCCACCCUGGAGGACUUAUAAUCAAAUCAUAUUCUGUCCCUUUUUUUUUUCAUUUAGGUUGAAAGCAGUUUGAAUAAGGCUACUGCCGAUACACAAAUGGCACUAAUUUUCCCAUUUGGGGUAAGUCUUUUAACUUCAGCUGUUAUGCCCCUGGCAAGGAAGUGGAGCUGAAUUGGACGAGACUAAAAGAUUUCGUGGGUUUGAUUUGCUGUGGAUCCUGAAGUCGGCUUUGCAAAUAAGAGACAACUACUCCCUUCUCUGCCACUGCUAACUCACUGGCAUCAGUGGAAAAGGGCUGUGGGGAAUUAGACUUCCAGAAUUUCUCUUCUGGUUCUGAAUUCAUGUGGACACAGGCUUACAGGGCAGAACUAUGAUCAACCCACGUAGCUUGUUUCAUUAAUUUUCUCCUCACAGUCUUUCAUCUCCCAGUACCGGAUCCUUAGCAGAGGCAGCAUAGAUACAGAAAUGGAAACUGGGCCACAAACUACUUAGCAUAGCUGCCCCAAGGCCAAUAAAAAUUGCAUUUUCCCCUUGCUAAAAGUGUAAUUUGUAAUUAAUAUAACCAUUCUGACUUUACUCAAAGGAUUGGUGCUAUUUGUGAUGUUAAAAAGUAGUCCCUCAAAAGGGGCAUUUCUCUUAAAAUGGAAAUUACUUAAUUAACUUUUCUAAUACAUUUAAUUUAUAAAUUGGUCUCAAAUGUUGGAAGCUGGUAUUUAGACAACACAGAGUAGGUUAUAUAUUUGAUAAAGCCAUGAUUAAAGAUUUUCAAAUGAGAUUUAUUUUUUCUAGUGACUGCUUUAUUUUAAUAUACUCAGUAACUACACACUGGCUAAAAAGUCAAUGACACAAUAAAGUAGAAAAUGCUAGAGAGCCUGACUAUGUGGAUAAAUUUUGAUCCCAAACUCUUCUUUUUCACUCUUUCCUUGCUACAAAUCAACACACCUAUACACCAUAAUCAUGCUUAGAUUUUUUUUCCCCCUUCAUUUCAAUCCUCUUAAAAAUUAUUUUGAUAAUUUCCUGGGCUCCUCUCCUAAGAUGUGGAGAAAAAAAAAAUCUAAAUAUCCGUGAAUAAAGUAAGCACAUUAGGGCACUUAUAUUGUACCAAUGAAAUAAUUAUUCUCUUUCUUACUAACACUUACAUUUUUAAAAAGAGGACAGUUAAAAAGUCCACGGUGAAAAUACAUUUUACACUACAGAUCAAAUUUCAUUGCUUCUUAUUUAAGACUGACCUACUCUAGGUUCAACAAGUUUUUUUUCCUAGUGUAUAGAAACACGUUUUAACAGAAAAUAAACUUUCUUGCUCCCAUAAAAUUUUUUGAAACACUUAGGAUAUUAGUACUAAGGAAACAGUCUGUUAAAUACAUCAAGAAACUGUUAAAACAUAAUUAUUGAUUCUUUCGUUAAUUUACUUUACGAUUUCAAAGAAUUGGAAAAGAACUAUCAAAAACAUUAUUCUCUAAAAAUAAUACCAUCCUAUGUAUUCUAAAAUAUCUUCAAAAAGCCAUUUUAUCUUAAAGCUAGAUUUCAUCCCUAAAAUGUUAAUAAUCAAGAGUUUAAUCUAUUGCUUUCUUACAGCCUAAAUUUAAGAGACCCAAAAGUGUUUAUCUGUUAAAACUACUAGAUACACUAAAUGAAGAAAAACUGUGGCAAUUAUACGAAAACGUAAUGACAUCUACGGUCAUUAAAUGUCAGUGCCAACAAACCUACCAAUAAAGAAUUGUUAAAGUAAAUGAUUUAAAGGAUUUUGAAUUGUGCGAUAUAGCUACCAACAAAAUUUAACUAUAACUUCAAUUUUAAGGCAAACCCAGAAAAAUAUUUUUUAACUGAGAAAAAAUCAUAUGCAGAAAAAUUCUUCAAUUUUAUUCUGUUUAACACUGUCCACUUGAGGAUUUGAGAUUUACAAGUGUGCAUUCUCCUUAAAAUUCUAAAAGUACAAUACAUAAAUUUAUGCUACCAUUUAUCUUACUUCCUCAAGCAUUUUUAUAGCAUCUAGAAUAGCUACCUAGUUAUUACAUUGUA
rnacentral:lncRNA from 1 species